UACGGGGGGAGCAAGCGUUGUUCGGAUUUACUGGGCGUAAAGGGCGCGUAGGCGGUCAGCACAAGUCAGUUGUGAAAUCUCCGGGCUUAACUCGGAAAGGUCAACUGAUACUGUGCGACUAGAGUGCGGAAGGGGCAACUGGAAUUCUCGGUGUAGCGGUGAAAUGCGUAGAUAUCUGCAGGAACACCCGUGGCGAAAGCGGCGCGCUGGACCACUACUGACGCUGAGGAACGAAAGCUAGGGGAGCAAACAGG
rnacentral:rRNA from 1 species